CAGUUAUACACCACUCCCAGUCUCAUUCCAAAAGCAAAAUAAGAGAUUUUCUAGUCUGAUUUCAGCAAGCAAUCUUUCAGCAAUUGCACAUGACAGAGAUAAUUUCAAGGCAAAUCAGACAUACCCUAAACAAAAAUGGAUCGAUCCUGCAAGAACCCACUUCCAGCACUUAACAAGGGGCUGAUGUUAUGUUCAGAGCGUUCAUUCACCUCCUAUAACAUUGCAGCCACAGUGAAUAACCUUACAGGACAGGCCUGUGAGAUCUCUGUCCUUUCCAGCUCUUCAUUUCAAGCAUUUCUGGGAAGAGAAUGGUGUCUGUUGAUUUGACUAUUUGCUGUCUCCAGAGUGCAGCUGAGCCAUUGUGAGAGCAGGCAAUGAGCCGUGCCCUGUUACUGCGCGCUGCAGAAGUCAGGGCAUGAUACUGAACAAACUCAUUCUCUGUCCUUCACUAUGAUUUGUACUAUCCCACUCUUUAUUGAAUUAAAUGUGUUAAUAAAGGACUUAUGUAGCAGCU